GCAUUUGGAUCUUGCAAAUCAACGGGGCACGAGACCACCCAUUAGAUAAUGAAGAAAAAACUUCCAAGGAAUAGUCAGAAGCUUUGACCUUGAAUCUGAACCAGGAGUUCCACCUCAGCUAAAAGGUACAUUUCAAGUCUCCAGUGAAGAAAACCUUCCCUCAGAACUAUUUUAUGCAGCCAUUUCUGAUGUGUCCCUUAGCUGAUCCUGGCUGAAUCUCACACCCUAGUGAUGAAUUGAUCUUUGGCUCCUCCCUG
rnacentral:lncRNA from 1 species